CAAGUCGCACGAGAAAGUGGAGCAAUCCAUGAGUACAGUGGCGCACGGGUGAGUAACACGUGAAUUAUCUACCUCCGAGUGGGGAAUAACUUAGGGAAACCUGAGCUAAUACCGCAUAACACUUACGAGUCAAAGCAGCAAUGCGCUUGGAGAGGAGUUCGCGGCAGAUUAGUUAGUUGGCAGGGUAAUGGCCUACCAAGACGAUGAUCUGUAUCCGGCCUGAGAGGGCGCACGGACACACUGGAACUGAAACACGGUCCAGACUCCUACGGGAGGCAGCAGUGGGGAAUUUUGCGCAAUGGGGGAAACCCUGACGCAGCAACGCCGCGUGGAGGAUGAAAUCCCUUGGGAUGUAAACUCCUUUCGAUUGGGAAGAUUAUGACGGUACCAAUAGAAGAAGCCCCGGCUAACUUCGUGCCAGCAGCCGCGGUAAUACGAGGGGGGCAAGCGUUGUUCGGAAUUAUUGGGCGUAAAGGGCGCGUAGGCGGUUUGACAAGUCUGAUGUGAAAUCUAUGGGCUCAACCCAUAGCCUGCAUUAGAAACUGUCGGGCUUGAGUAUGGGAGAGGUGAAGUGGAAUUUCCGGUGUAGCGGUGAAAUGCGUAGAUAUCGGAAGGAACACCUGUGGCGAAAGCGGCUCACUGGACCAUAACUGACGCUGAGGCGCGAAAGCUAGGGGAGCAAACAGGAUUAGAUACCCUGGUAGUCCUAGCCCUAAACGAUGAUUGCUUGAUGUGGCAGGUACCCAAUCCUGCCGUGUCGAAGCUAACGCGAUAAGCAAUCCGCCUGGGGAGUACGGUCGCAAGGCUGAAACUCAAAGGAAUU
rnacentral:rRNA from 1 species